rnacentral:tRNA from 1 species
GCUAAGUUAGCUUAAUUGGUAAAGCGGUCGUUUUGUAAUCGACAUAUUGGGGUUCAAGUCCCUAACUUGGUA